CUCAGCCUUGUCUAGGCGCCUGAUCUCAUCUGAUCUUGGAAGCUAACCAGGGUCAAGCCUGGUUAGUACUUGAACCGGAAAUCUCUUCAACCCUGCUGAAAGCCAGGAGGCAGCGA
rnacentral:rRNA from 1 species